rnacentral:rRNA from 1 species
GCGGCGGACGGGUGAGUAACACGUGGGCAACCUGCCUGCAAGACGGGGAUAACUCCGGGAAACCGGGGCUAAUACCGGAUAACACGAAAGACCGCAUGGUCUUUGGUUGAAAGGCGGCUUCGGCUGCCGCUUGCAGAUGGGCCCGCGGCGCAUUAGCUAGUUGGUGAGGUAACGGCUCACCAAGGCGACGAUGCGUAGCCGACCUGAGAGGGUGAACGGCCACACUGGGACUGAGACACGGCCCAGACUCCUACGGGAGGCAGCAGUAGGGAAUCUUCCGCAAUGGACGAAAGUCUGACGGAGCAACGCCGCGUGAGCGAAGAAGGUCUUCGGAUCGUAAAGCUCUGUUGUCAGGGAAGAACAAGCGCCGUUCAAAGAGGGCGGCGCCUUGACGGUACCUGACGAGGAAGCCACGGCUAACUACGUGCCAGCAGCCGCGGUAAUAC